rnacentral:rRNA from 1 species
AUCUAAGAGAUUAGACGUUCCCUUCGGGGACAUGGAUACAGGUGGUGCAUGGUUGUCGUCAGCUCGUGUCGUGAGAUGUUGGGUUAAGUCCCGCAACGAGCGCAACCCUUAUUAUCAGUUGCCAGCAUUAAGUUGGGCACUCUGGUGAGACUGCCGGUGACAAACCGGAGGAAGGUGGGGAUGACGUCAAAUCAUCAUGCCCCUUAUGACCUGGACUACACACGUGCUACAAUGGAUGGUACAACGAGUUGCGAACUCGCGAGAGUAAGCUAAUCUCUUAAAGCCAUUCUCAGUUCGGAUUGUAGGCUGCAACUCGCCUACAUGAAGUCGGAAUCGCUAGUAAUCGCGGAUCAGCAUGCCGCGGUGAAUACGUUCUCGGGUCUUGUACACACCGA